UACAGAGGAGCCAAGCGUUGUCCGGAUUGACUGGGCGUAAAGCGCACGCAGGCGGUCGCGCGCGUGGGGUGUGAAAUCUGGCCGCUUAACGGCCAGGCGCCAUCCCAUACGGCGCGACUGGAGUGACGCAGAGGUCGAUGGAAUUGCCGGUGUAGUGGUGAAAUGCGUAGAUAUCGGGAGGAACACCAGUGGCGAAGGCGACUACCUGGCCUGUUCUUGACGCUGAGGCGCGAAAGCUAGGGGAGCAAACGGG
rnacentral:rRNA from 1 species